ensembl:lncRNA
AUACAAUGUUGAAUAUUUAAUUGGCAGGUCUUGACUUGUUUGUCUUUAACAAUAAGGCCAGGUCCAGACUGGGCCAGGUCAGAGAGGGUAGUCAUGGUUUCACUGGGCCAGGUCAGAGAGGGUAGUCAUGGUUCCACUGGGCCAGGUCAGAGAGGGUAGUCAUGGUUCCACUGGGCCAGGUCAGAGAGGGUAGUCAUGGUUCCACUGGGCCAGUUCAGAGAGGGUAGUCAUGGUUUCACCGGGCCAGGUCAGAGAGGGUAGUCAUGGUUUCAUAAGAGCUUGGUUACAGUCGCCGUUAGCAGCAGACAUACAGCCACCAUCUAUUAAUAGACAGAAGGGUUUCACUAGAACAAUGGUCUGAUGACUCUGAGAAGCAGGAAGUGUG